CGAGUACGCGCUGCUUCAGUGCCACUUAAAGGGGACGUGCCAAAGCAGACGCCCAUCCAGAGCUGGCAACAGGCCUCAGAUACUUUUGAUGACUCACGAAAGAUUGUUGCUCCAGCUUCAGACUGCUGCCCUGGGGUUAUUUGGAAGAGCAGUCAGGAUGAAUGAGUGUGCUGCCUGAGAAGCCACAGUGGGAGGAGACUUAGUGCCUUAAUGAUGGAGCACAUCAAUAUCCUGAAUCUGCACACCUGGCGACCUCUCAGAGGACUGGAUAGACAAUGGCACAUUGAUCUGUCCACGCUAAGAGCACUCGACCAUUGUUACAAAUUCCGAGCCAGCUAACGAGUCCCAAUCACAGGGAAUUCUCUCUCCUAGAAGAGACUCAGCUGCCUCCCACCAUGCUCUCUGACAGUUGCCCUGGCAGCCACUGGUGCACAAGACAUCCAUCCUGGCAUUAAAAGGACUUCAAUCUCCCUUUCUAUAAAUUGUGUAACUUUCUUCCUCUCCCCUGCAGCCUCUCUCUCUCCUCCAUGGUGCACUUGGGAAAUGUUGCUUUAAGAGCUGACGCCUGCUGUGAUAGAUGCACAACCAAGUGUCGGCGGCUGUGCUAAAGUGAGUGUGGUCCCCUUUUAGCUCCUGUUACUGGGUGUAAACCACUUCACUCAGUUUCAAAUCUCUUUUUGGCCAAUUUCAUAAUUCUGAACAGAGGACUCAAAUGGAUGUUAGUGCUGGAUACAAUGAAAAUUUGGCACACCAAUUUCUAGGCACUUGUACUCUGCAAAUGCCUUAGUGAAUUACUGUGUGGGUUGGGGAGGCAUUUGUGGUCAGGGUAGAUGGGACUGGUUGUGGGAGAGGGGCUGAGGUCAGUUUUAGAGGAGUUGCUCAUUAGGCAGGAUAGCGGGGGUGGGGUUCAUGUCAGUCUAUCCUAGACCUAUUGGGGUGCAUGUUCUGUUUCUUGGUGUACAGCUCAGUGUAACUCAGCUGUGCUGAUUAACCCCAAUACACAAAUCAACAGUCAUUAUAAAGUAAAGGCAUGCCUCCAGGUUUCCGCCAUUGGUUGUGUUUUAUUACUUCCUAUCAAGCAGGAAGCGGCAGUUUCUCAGAACUUGUACCAAAUUCAUAUGAUGAUUUUGAGCCCCUUGAGCACUAGAUUUUAUACUCCAGCAAUGCCGUAUUUAUGAUCAAUGUCUAACAUUAUUUAUAACAAUCUCUCAAAGUUUUUUCAUACCACAUAUUGCUACUCAACGGGGAGAGUACUGAAGUAUAAUAUGGCAAUGAAAUAAAUGCUUUUACAACCAAUUUUCCAAUUCUAUCUGCCACAAAUUCUGCACUUCAAAUCUGACCAGUGUGCUGCUCUCUGCAGUUUUAUUUGACUGAGGUCAUUUCUGGCUCACAGUUCUCCUCUUUGGAGCACUGUGACUGUUUCUAGCCUCCUUUUGAUCUUAUUCCUGGACAUUCCAAGAACUCUUCACCCGAAUUUCUAUAGUAGUGCUUCAUGUUUUAUCGUGGUGUGCAGAAUAAAUUAAUAUGUUGAGAGGCUAAAAAAUUAAUCCGCUGAAGAGAAACCAAAUUAAGCAAAAAAAUAAAGUGAAGAGUCAGAGAAAUAAGAAAAUACAAAGAAAGAAACUGUUAAAAUGAAAAAUUAAAGAAGCCAGCUAAAUUCAGUUAGCAGGCAGUUAGUAAUAAAUAAUUAAAAUUAAUAAUCAGGCUUCCAGCAUCUGCAGACACAGAUUUUCAUGCUUCAAGUAAUUAAAAAUAUGACUAAGCUCUGAGGAGAAAUGUUAGCAAAGUCUUUAAUAAUAAUUCCUUAUUAUUAAAACACAGCAUUAAUAUUGAACUUUAUUUAUCCUAGUUUGCAGUUAGUUACCAGAAAAGGAAUUUUGUAAGGUGCUGGAGUUAUCUGGCCUACAUAUCACUGACUGAACCUGAAGCAAUUUUGCAUAUUGCAAAAUGCUCUUUCCUCUAAGAACAUCCGUCAGUAAUUUUAACAAUUAUUUUGUCUCAUUUGCAUUGCUCCUUCCAAUUAUUACAGAUAUGUUAUUGCUUCACUUAUAGAAGGAUAUGCAGGAGGAAAGGGUUAGGUAGUGUGAGGGUGGUUUGAUGGACGACACGACAUGGUGGGCCGAAGGGCCUGUUUUGUGCUCUAUGGUUCUAUGGUUCUAUGGUAGUUUAAAGAUGAGUUAGUAUUGAUUUAACUAAUGAUAGCUUUUUUUCUAGGAAAUUGCUCUUCUUGCUUUCUUGUAAUGGACCCACCUUGUCCAGAUUCCCUUCAUUUCAGUCAUUGGUACUAAAAUUGUGGCAGUAACCUCUGAUCAGCUUCCUUUCUAUGGCAAUGUUAUUGUUGGAUCCUUUCUGUAUUUUUUGGCUUGACAGCUCAAUAUAUUGGAGUGUGAUAUUUAUGAUGUUGCAUGGACUCUCAAAU